CAGCUCCCUCUAAACAUAUCGAAUAGCAGAUAUAUCCUACAAAAUUUAGAUUUUCAGAUUUAUCCCUUAAAAAGUCAUAACGGUUUCAAAUAUAUUUAUGCUGUUAGUAUCUGUUAGAAAAAUAUAGUUAACUAUAGAUAAAUUCCUUAACCUUGGUUAGUGAGUGAGGUAAAUUGUCCUUUUUACUCCUUUGAUAUUAUAUUUUUUUUUCUCUUAAUCAAAACGAUCGAAACCCUAGCAAUAGAAACUCCUCUUCCUCUUUCUCUCUUUUCUUCAAGCUAGUUUUGAAUUCAUAGCUAGGGUUUCUCUAUCUCAUUCAUCCAUGCUUCGCCGCGUCGAGCGCCGGGGAAUUAGUAUUGGCUAGAUAAAGGAGAAAAGGGGUGAGAGAAAAUGUAGAGAAGAGAUUGCAAUAAUGGUGGAUUGAGUUAGUUUUUAUAGAGGAAGAAGAUAACUAUUGAAAAUUAUUUAGAAAGAUAUUUUUGUACGAUUCUAAACAAUUGGAGCUUUUGAUGGGACAUAUUUGUGAUAACAAAAUUGACAUCUCACUUAUCUUCUGUUAAAAAAUAAACAGUGAGGUGACGGUAACAAAUCAGAGGGGCAAAUAUGAACGUCACAGAACUUUUGAAGGAAUAAAUCUAAAAGCAUGAACUUUGUACGAAUAUAUUUACUAUUCGACAUGUUCACAGGAAACUAUAUGAAAUUAU
rnacentral:lncRNA from 1 species